GAACGGGAGGAGAGGAAGGGCCUAGUUCCUAGGAGAGGCACAGCACGGACAAAGGCUCAUGGGGUGGGGGUGCCCAGUGAUCCAGUCCUGGCUCGGGAAGGGAGGCCCGAGUUCCCUGGGAACUGAAAUCUGCUAGCAGCACUGUGAAGGAGUGCAUUUCCCCCUCCUAAUGACAGAGGAAACUGAGGCUUCGGGGAGGUUGGGGAUUUGCCCUUGACACGCAGAUAGGAGGAGGAGGAAUUGAGCGUGCCCCUGGGCCUGCAGGCCCCCACACCCCUCCCCAGUCUUCUACAAGACCUGGCAUGGUGGGAGGAGGGAGGGGGAAGCAGAGAGGAAGCAUAGGGCUCCUAGGGCACCAAGGGAGGCAGGCGCCCGGGGGAGGGAAUCUGGGGGUCUAGCUUUCCUUGGAGCAGUAUGGAAGGUAACAGGGAAGAUCAGGAGGACAGACAGCUGAGAUGGGAGACCAGAGAGAUGGGCUCCAGGACCCCUGGGGAGCCAAGCUCUCCCCCACAGAACCUAGCUUCCCCACCCCACCUGGAGCUUCACCAAGGGCUCCUCAGCAGUGAAGUGGCCCAAGCCUCCCAGUUUGGUGGCCGAGUGGAGGUGGUGGUGGUGUCGUGGCUCCUGGAGACAUGACAUAACCAGGAGGUGAGAAGGGAUAAACCAGGGGUGGGCCUGGGCUGGGACUCAUGGCAUGACCCCAAUUCUCUCUCCUGAAGCUCGACCCACCAUCCCCAGGAUCACACAGGAGAAUCUCAUCCUCACAGCUUGGAUUGGUCCUGGGGGCCCCCUGGUGUGCUGCUAACUGGUGUACCACAAUGGUCAGGAGCAGCCCAGAGGGGAGCCAGAAGAGACCCUUGCCCUCACCUUCUAUCCCCAUUUCUGCAUCUUUUGCACUGGUAUCCCGGGGUCCACAUUCCCAGUUCCUGGGACUGAAAACCGCAGCAGUCCAGCCAGCUCCAGGGACAGAGUGGCCCAGCCACCUACCAUGUACCCUCCUCAGCUGCCUACUGGACCCAGGUCCUGAAUGAAGCUGUCCACCUGCCUCACCCCAGAAGAGGCUGGACGGUGGCUGCCUCGUGCCCCCUGCAGUCUCCCACAGCUAGGGCCUGAUGGCGUGCCUCCUUGUGCUAAGUCUCCUGGGAACCCCUGACCCUGCUGGCCCCUCUCAUCCACCCCUACCCUGUCCACCCUGGACCCCCUCUGGGGACCUGUCAGCCUACUGGUCCCUCCCACAGAUCUCUAGGGGGCAGCCUCCGUGGGACAAGAGUGGCACAGUGCUGGAGGAGAGGAAUGAGGGGCCUCCUGGUGUCUGAUGCACAGAUGUGGCCCUUUCAAACCCUGGUGUCACCCUCUGGGUUACUGGAUCCCCUGCACCAGCCUCUUCCUGGGCCAGUGAGGAAGGGUGGAGGAAAGCUCUUCUGUGAGUGCAUGUGUGGGAGUUGGGGGGUACCUGAGCCCUCCCCAUGCAAGGGGCUCCGCUUGGGACCCUGGAAACUGCUUCCCUACUGGGAGAAAUGCAUGUUGGAGUCACAGGGGUCCCUACCCUCAGAGAUCCCCCUCCCACUGCAGGGAGCCCCACCCCAUAAGACGGGCACGGAAGUCCACGUCUGCCCACCCCCGGUGGCCUCUGCUGUGGCUGUAUUGGCCUAGAGGGGCUGGUUGGGGAGGGGCAGGGCUGAGCCCUCAGCAUCUGCUCCUGUCCCUGCUUUUUCACUUCUGCUGCCUGAAGUGGUAGCCCCGCCUGCUGCUCCUCCACUCCCUCCCUUUCUCUUCUCUCCCCAACGGGGUCCAUGCUGUGUGACAGGGUCUCCAUGCACUUUAUUUAUUUGCAGUCUGUUUUCCAGGCAGCAGAGCUUCUACAAAUGCAGACACCGACCGGAAUGACUUAUGCUUUUCUGUGUGUUGUGAUUUACUGUAUACUGGUCAGCACAGGCUGGCCAGAGAGAUGUUCUUGUUUCUGGUGUUGUCACGUCUUGUUUUCUCUAAGUUUAAAAAAAAGUCCUUGAUUUAAUACACUAAAAUCCCAACUGGAGGCCUCCUGUGUCUGGUGGGGGAUGCAGUGGCCCCGGGUGGAGAAAAGCCCCGUGGUGAGGUCACCAUCUCCCAUGGCCAGGAACUGGCAGGGAGAAGCCUCCAAGAGGGAGGGCUUGGGGAGGCUGUGGCAGGGACUGUGUUUCCUGUUCAGAGGCUGUGCUGAGACCCAACUUGACCCAAACCACUGCCCCAUGAGAAGCAGGCAACAGCCUAGCCUGGCCUAGAGAGGUGGCUGCUUGUCCUGUUUACAACGUCUGUUCAAACGACCCAAAACAUAAGUCCUCUUCCGCUUUAGAGUCUGGUUAUCAAAAGUGCUGGAGUCAGUAGAAUCCUGAGGGUGAACUAUGGUGAACUGAACUGAAGCAGACUCCACACAGGUCAUUUUGUGUAGUGCUGAUACCCCCCCUGCCCGAGGCCACCUUCCACUGCCUCCCUACCAUCCAGGUUACUGCAGAAUCUUGGAGAAGAUAAAGGACCUGGUCCCGGAAGCCUGCUUCCCUUCCCUGACCUUGGAGGCAAACUGUCCCAUCAGAGCCCUCCUCCCUAGUGACUCCCACAGGAGAGAGAGCUCCCUAGUGGCUGCUGCAGGGGUUGGCAAGUAGGCAGAAGGUGAGGGAGGGAGGGCUGAGGGCAGUAUUAGAGGAAGGCCCACAGGGCCCCAGGAGGGAGGCAUCAGAGGACACAGGGAGGUGGCAAAGACUCAGGAGUGCAGCCUGAGUUUAGGAGCCCUGGGGGCACUCCUGUUGCUAAGGGCUCCCUAGGGGUCAGAGCACCCUGACAAGGAGGACCCCUCCAAAAGCACUGGUGCCAACACCCUAUGGCAUCUGCCACCAUGGGAGAAAUGGGCCCCAGUCCCUGAGCUUCCCACCCCUUUGUCUAGAUGGUCCUCUUCAGUCCCUGAUGGUCCCACUCCCCCUCCAGGGAUCAAGUGACUUGGCAAACCAAGAUGGGGGAUGAUCCUCCCAGAGCCUGGCUCCAAGGCCUCCUGAAGAGGGAGGACCACCCCUCCCAUCCCUGCCACAGAGGAAGGGAAGGUGGGAAGGCCAGUUCUGCUCCGUUGGGAGCCCAGGAGAACUGAGCCCUAAGCCCUGAGCCCAGCUCUUCCUACUGUGUGGUGCCAGACAAACUGUGCACAACCUCGAGUAAGGCUCCUUUGGGAUGCUUGUAAGCAGCGAAUAUGAUGAUGGCUGUUCAAUGUUUAUCAUCAGAUCUCGCCUGGAGCAGCCUUGUUACUGUGGGGAAAAGGAACCAAGUGAAGGUAACGGACCUCUGAUGAGAGCCUGCCAUGUGCCAGAUGCCGUUCUAGGUGCUUUGCAUUCUAAUCUCAUGAUAAUCCCACAACCACCUAAUCAUUAUCCCCAUUUUAAAGAGAAACCAAGGACAGGAACCAAGUCUGAAAUAGAACCCCAAGCAGUAGCUCUUUUCCUGAGCUCCCAAUCCCCCCUGGAGAGGCAGGGAAUUGGGCUGGAGUAGUGAUGAAAUGGAAUAGCAAAGAUGUAAGAUGAGCCUGUCCUUUUUGGGUGGGGUUCAUGAGGCAGAAAAGAAAUCCAAGGCUUGGAUGAGGGGUAUAUUUGGGAGCUUUCUCCAAAUGGAGCUCCCCAGUGGGAGCAGCUGGGGUCAUCCUGAGAUUGUCCCACCUGUCUUCCCUCCAUUCCACCUCCAGAGAUUGAUUGGGACCUAAGAGACUGAGUCAGUAAAGGGCAAGAAAGCAGCCAAGUAGGCAGUUCCGGGGGCACCAGAGCAAAUACACUGAGAAAUGGGAAAUAUAAACAGCAUGCAAAAUCCCAUCCUACUCCUACCCACCCCGCCUUCAAGGUAAAUUGCUGGGUUUUGGACAAAUUUUCAGUUUGUGUGCAUCUUUUACGUGUAUAAAACUAUAAACAUACUACUUUGAAAUCGGAUUCCACUGUCAUGUUUGUCUUACCAUGUUGUUAUGUGUUUUCCUACAUCCAAAGCUACCUCGUAACUCUUUUGUAUGAAGGUUCCAUCAUGUAUCCCCCAGUCACUCUUGGUUGUUUUCCUUUGUUGUCAUUGAUUUGAGGGGUGGGGGUUGGUUUGCUUUCUGUUGUUAUUUUUCCUUGUUUUCAUAAGUGACAGAUACCAUUGUGGAUAAAUACUGUGGCGUAGUUAUGAUCAAUUCCUUGAUAUAUAUUCCUAGAACGUGCACAAAAGGGUAUGCAUGGCUUAGGGCUUUUAAAACUCUCCAGCGUUGGGGUACCAAGUUACACUACUCACUCAAGUCAGGAUGACAGUUUUUUUGAGACAAUGGUGGCAAUUCUGAUUAAAUAGAUUAAAAACUUCA